AUGCGUAGCCGACCUGAAGCCGUGAUCGGCCACACUGGGACUGAGACACGGCCCAGACUCCUACGGGAGGCAGCAGUAGGGAAUCUUCCGCAAUGGACGAAAGUCUGACGGAGCAACGCCGCGUGAGUGAUGAAGGCUUUCGGGUCGUAAAACUCUGCUUUUAGGGAAGAAAAAGUGCUAGUUGAAUAAGCUGGCACCUUGACGGUACCUAACCAGAAAGCCACGGCUAACUACGUGCCAGCAGCCGCGGUAAUACAUAGGUGGCAAGCGUUAUCCGGAAUUAUUGGGCGUAAAGCGCGCGCAGGUGGUUUCUUAAGUGUGAUGUGAAAGCCCACGGCUCAACCGUGGAGGGUCAUUGGAAACUGGGAGACUUGAGUGCAGACGAGGAAAGUGGAAUUCCAUGUGUAGCGGUGAAAUGCGUAGAGAUAUGGAGGAACACCAGUGGCGAAGGCGACUUUCNGGUCUGUAACUACACUAGGCGGCAAC
rnacentral:rRNA from 1 species